AGUGAACGCUGGCGGCAGGCCUAACACAUGCAAGUCGAGCGGCAGCGCGGGGCGAACCCUGGCGGCGAGCGGCGGACGGGUGAGGAAUGCGUCGGAAUCUGCCUCUUUGUGGGGAUGAACGUAGGGAAACUUACGGACUAAUACCGCAUACCGACCUACGGGUGAAAGUGGGGGACUUGCGGGCCUCAGCGCAGAGAGAUGAGCCGACGCCGGAUUAGCUAGUUGGCGGGGUAAAGGCCCACCAGGCGACGAUCUGUAGCUGGUCUGAGAGGAUGAUCAGCCACACUGGAACUGAGACACGGUCCAGACUCCUACGGGAGGCAGCAGUGGGGAAUAUUGGACAAUGGGCGCAAGCCUGAUCCAGCCAUGCCGCGUGUGUGAAGAAGGCCUUCGGGUUGUAAAGCAC
rnacentral:rRNA from 1 species